UGUGCCAGCAGCCGCGGUAAUACGUACCGGACAAACGUUAUUCGGAAUUACUGGGCUUAAAGAGUACGUAGGCUGUCUUGUAGGUGAGGUGUGAAAUCCCACGGCUCAACCGUGGAAUUGCGCUUCAAACCACAAGACUUGAGGGAGACAGGGGUGAGCGGAACUGAUGGUGGAGCGGUGAAAUGCGUUGAUAUCAUCAGGAACACCGGUGGCGAAGGCGGCUCACUGGGUCUCUGCUGACGCUGAGGCACGAAAGCCAGGGGAGCGAACGGGAUUAGAUACCCCGGUAGUCCUGGCCUUAAACGAUGAUCACUAGGUGUAGGAGGCUUCGACCCCUUCUGCGCCGCCGCAAACGCAUUAAGUGAUCCGCCUGGGGAGUACGGCCGCAAGGUUAAAACUCAAAGGAAUUGACGGGGGCCCGCACAAGCAGUGGAGCAUGUGGUUUAAUUCGAUGCUACGCGAAGAACCUUACCAGGGUUUGACAUCCCGGUGAAACCCCAUGGAAACAUGGGGCCCCUUCGGGCACCGGUGACAGGUGGUGCAUGGGUUGUCGUCAGCUCGUGUCGUGAGAUGUUGGGUUAAGUCCCGUAACGAGCGCAACCCUUAUCCUUAGUUGCCAGC
rnacentral:rRNA from 1 species